rnacentral:lncRNA from 1 species
AUGGAGUUUAGCUCUUGUUUCCCAGGCUGGAGUGCAAUGGCGCAAUCUCGGCUCACUGCCACCUCCGCCUCCCGGGUUCAAGGGAUUCUCCUGCCUCAGCCUCUGGAGUAGCUGGGAUUGCAGGCAUGUGCCACCAUGCCCAGCUAAUUUUGUAUUUUUAGUAGAGACGGGGUUUCUCCAUGUUGGUCAGGCCCAGUCUUGAACUCCCGACCUCAGGUGAUCCACCAACCUGGCCUCCCAAAGUGCUGGGAUUACAGGUGUGAGCCACCGUGCCCAGCCUGUCCAGUCACAUUUCUACAUAGCUGUCCAUACUUUGUUGAACCUCAGCAUAAAAAUGGACAAUUUCCUCUGUAUCUUUUGGGUCUUUAUUCUGAAGUCUGCCAUGUACACAUUAAAUCUGUUUGUCUACUUUUUCUCUCACUAAUCUGCCUCUUGUCAGUGAUUUUCAGCAAAACUUCAAAGGACGAAGGGGAAAUGUUCCCUUGUCCCUGCAAUUUGUACAAACACUGUUAAUCCGUAUCCUCUCCCUGAGGCUUGUGUGGCCAGGAGGUGAACCCAGGGGCCUGGGAGAGGAAGGCACAGAGGCUGGCAGUGGGAGGGCCCUCACACCCAUGAUGCCAGUGCAGUUCAGCCACAGGUGCUUUUGUUCCCCAGGGAAGUAUUCAGCUGGCCCCUCCUGAGGAAGGCUCACUUAGACAGGAACACUUUUGCACCCGGCUGCUUCUGUUGGUCCAGGGAAGACCCUGUAUGCCCUCCUCAUGGAAUUAUUAAUUACCUUUUCACGGAUGAAAUUGGCUGAGGAAUGUGAAGUCGCUUGCCUAAAGUCACAGAGCCGGCAAGUGGCAGAACCAGAUUCCAGUCCCAAGUGAAUCUGUUCCUUCUGCUGUGCCAAGCUGACUUCCGGUGCAGCCAGCAGCUGGGCCCUAACAGGAUCAGUUAGUGUGAAGAGCACCCAGCCUCAUGGAUUUCCAGAGAAGGAGCUCUUUUCCUCUGUCAGGUAAUUGGAUUUUCUGCAGAAGGGAAUCUUGGUGCUUAAAUAAGUUUGAUCAAUGAUUUACACCCUCUCUCUCCUCCCUCUUCCACUUGCAGGAAUUGAAUUUUGAUUGAAAAAUAAGCUUUAACCAUUCACUUCAUUCGUCACUGAAAAUUGCUUCAGUCAAAUGGCAGAGAAAACAGCCAAAGAUAAACGUGGAGCUGAACCACUUCCUUCAGCCUCUCACCCAGCCCGGGGAGAGCUCCUAUAGCACCCAUGGAACAGCAACCUUAAAAACCACAAAGUACCACUUCUACCAGCUGGCAGCAGUUACACUAAAUUUGUCUAAGUAAAGAUAGUUUCAUCCAACUCUAGACUUGGGGAAGGUCAUGUUUCAGAGAUGAAAAAAACAGACAUGAUUGUUUAAUUCACGUAGGGAAAGAAGAAGCACUUUACACAUGUUAUCCACACCUGGCCUUCCCAAGCUGCCUCUCCAGAAAUCCUAGGAUGGAAGAAACGAAAUGCAUCUAUCCAAGUGGCUGGUAUUAGAGAAAGGGUUCUUGUGGCUCGGACACAUACAUCACCCACAGACUGGCGUGCAUGUGCAUGCACUCACCACACACACAAAUACAUAGGCUUCAAAAAGACACACAGAGCCCCGGGCAUACUUCUUAAAACAUGAUAGUGAUUCAACACGCAUUAAUAGGAGAAGACUUUGUCUAUAAAGGAAACAGAAAGUAGAGUGAAAGUAAGAAUUCAUUUUAUUUGUUGAAUAAACAAAUAAAUAAUCAAAUAAAUAUGCCUUCCUGUGACAAAUAUGUAUUGAGUAACUACUACAUGCUAGCCUCAGUUCAGGGGUAGGGAUAUAACAGUGAGCAAUAAGUGGCAAAUAAAGCACAGCCCCUGGCCUAAAUGUGUUUACAGCCUUUUGGGGAAGAAAAACAAUAAACGGACAAUUUCAAAACCCUAUGAUAAAUGCUAUAGUAUCAACUUUGUUUAGGUUUUGACUCUUACAUUCCAUCCAGUUUUCCCCAAAUUAAUCUACAGAUCAAACACAGUACCAAUCAAAACUCCAGCAGGAUUUUUGUAGAAUUGACAAGCAGAAUUACAAAAGUCAUAUGGAAAUGCAAAGGACGUGG